rnacentral:rRNA from 1 species
UAACAAAAACAUUUCUAUUAGAUUUUAUUAAUAGUAUAAUCUGCUCAAUGAUAUUAAAUAGCCGCUAUUACUGUGCUAAGGUAGCAUAAUCAUUUGUCUUUUAAUUAAAGACUAGAACAAAAGAUUGAACAUUUUAAUUAAUAUAUUUAAAUUAAUUAAUUAAAUUUAUUUUAAAUGUAAAAAAACAUUUAUAAAUUAGAAAGACGAUAAGACCCUAUUAAACUUAACUUAAGUUAAACUGGGGCAGUUAAUUAAUUAUUACUUUAAUUUAAAUUAAAAAAUAAAUAGAUCCUAUAAAAUAGAUUAGAUGAUCAAGUUACUAUAGGGAUAACAGCGUAAUAUUAAUUAAAAGAUCUUAUUUAAAUAAAAGAUUACGACCUCGAUGUUGAAUUAAUAACCUAUAUAGUUGCAAUAAACAAUAAAGG